UUAGAGAUUCCCUAACAAGUAGGUUUUAUUUAUUAUUUCUACACAUUUAUCUUGAAGACUAGUGUAAGGAGUCUACACAUGGCUUUCAUGACAACUGAUAUGAGGCAUUCAAGAAGUGGCUAACGAGUUCAGUGGUCACUAUUGGAUGCUUUCAGUGACAGAUGUUAUGGAAAUUGUGUAGCAGUCCUUUAGUGUUGAAAUGAACACACGGUAGAGGGAACAAAUGUUUAACAAUGUUAUGUCCUCUUUCCUUUAGAAUGCAACUCAGACUGUCUUCAGUCUUUCAUUCCAACGCUGAGAGAUGGUGGGGUACUCGCACAAACACAGACAUGCACACACAGCACAAUCUAAUUCGACCCCUAAAGGCCUGAAUACACUAAGCAUUUUGUUAAGCACAACAAAUGACCUGAGAUUACUUGAUCAUUAGAGCAUUUGGUUUUUUGUGACUGUGAUUGGAAACAUUGCAGAAUGAGGUGUUGACUGUCCUACAGCUUUAGGGCAGUGCAUCUCCUGUGCUCUAUAUGAGCUCUAAGGUUUUUUAUACUUAGUUUUAAAUUAAUAUAUAAACCAUGUAAAACAUUAGUUCCUGUUGGUUUUGAUUAGUUUGUGGAUUGAUCAGCCUAAAUCUUGGCUGUUGUAAGAGUUAUGCUUUAGUUUUUGCUACUGUUUUUUAAUUACUACAGACAAUUGCCGUCUAUAUAUUGUCAAUUUAAAGUGUUUUUUCUUUUCUGACCAACAAAUCACUGAGAUCUCUGAGAAAUCAGUUUUCAGCAGAUUUUCAAAUGCUCGCAUAUUUGAUAUGCUUGCAUAUUUUAUAUGACUGCAAACGCAUGCUUGCUGAGUGUAUCCAGGCCCAAAUUUUACAGAUGAAAGAGCCAGAUACUUUAAUCUAGAGCUGUUUAAUUAAUGAGGGCAUUGAUAGUGUAGCUUCUUGCAGUGCACCAUGGCUCUGCACAUCUGACUUCAUACAUUAUCGCUAAAUGUCUGUACAUUUUUAAUACAAAUAGUGCAUGACUGGUAACUCGUACUGCUCUUCCAGCCACAUUUUCCCUUUUCGCUAACUACAGCUAAAAUGGCUCCCAGGCCUCAGGACGCCAAGUUGCACAUGACGGGGGGAAGACAAUUAAAGUCCCACAGUGGUGUGGAUCCACUCACAAAGAACGGUUAAGAAGACAGCACAGCUGUAAGAAUGCCGUGCAACCCAAAAGGCAGGAGGUGGGGUUGCUGCCUGGUAGGUGAGUAACCAGUGCACUGGUGUCCCACCCACACAAACCUGUUUCUGUUUUCAGACCCCAAAACUCCUCCUGUCUCUCACUUUUACCUUUUAAGACUUUUCUCAUCUUCAACCUGAAGGAUCUCGGGUCCUGGAACAAAUAUUAGGGGUUUAGAAACUUCAGAGGGUCUCCAGUUUCACAUUAUUUUUAAGUUUUUAUACUCUUCAUUACUAAAUAAUCCAGCUCAGUCUCUAGGUUGAGACUAUGAACAUCUGUGGAUUUACAUUUGGACAUUUAUGAUUUUACUGUGUAUGUAUUUAAGGUAGUAUGCCAUCUCAUUUACUUACUUUGUGUACAGGCUUUUAUUUGAUAAUCAGUGUAGAUUAAACAGGUGAUACAUUUCUCACAAUUGAUUUAAAUCAGAAUGUAAUACUUCAGGGAAAUUAAUUAAACUCAGGGAUGUCCCAAUCUGAUGCUGAUAAUGUACUGAUACCGACACCCUCACGGUAACUGUAAUGAAAUUUUGCUGGCAUGCUUUGGAAAAUAGAUGUGCUUACAAUAUAAAAGUCAAAAGAAUGUAUAGAAUAUCCUUAGACACUGGGGCAAAACUGUGGCACACUAGGUUUUAAACCUCUCUUUGCCUUUGGGCUGUACAGGGUACUCCACCUUUUCCCCCCACUUUCUAUAAACAUGCAGAAGUUACACUAAUGAAAAUUGGCAGUUUACAUGUCUGCCUUCUUCUCAGUGUUUUUUGGGUAGUCUCAGGCUCACCACCAUCCUGAGUUCAUUUUUGGAUUGGGACAUCCCUAGUGAAAUAAAACGUUACCAGUUUUACCAGGCUUUAUUUACUAUUGCUGUUACUGUCCUGGCAAAAAUGUAAUUUUUCUUUCUUGUAGGCUUUCUAUAAUCUUGUAAAAAAUAAAUAUGUUUAUAAGUA